UGUUAUUUGAUGUGCCAGAUCGAGGACAGUCUAGACAAAUCCCAUCUGGAAAUGCUGGAACUUCGACUAAGAAAUCCGAAGAAAAAAGAGUUUCUGCUAGCAAGCCAGUGGCUCGAGCACAGGCUAAGGUUCCGUUUGAGAAGGGUUAUAGCCAAAUGGAUUGUCUUAAACUUACUCAAAAACACCAUGAUCUUGCAGGAUUCAUCAUGUUGUCAUCGCUCAUUGUGCAAACAUCGAUUGAGAAGCAUGCGCACCCCGUGAGAUUCUCUUUAUGAUACAGCCUACUAAUGAACGCGUUGUUUAUUCCAAGAGCCACUACCGCGUUGAUAUACUGCUGAAGGCAGUAGGAAAAGACUGCGCAUCUUUAUUCAGUAUCCUUUUCUGGAUUUUCUUUUUCUUGGAGAAUUUUAGAGGGUGUAGCUGAAGAUCAGAUUGGACCGGAUAAUCAUCCCUUGUGAAACAUCAAUUUUUUUCAUGCUGUGCAAAAAUGAGCAAGCUUGAAAGAUGAAUUCAUUUCAAUCCAAUUUGAAAUUGUUAAGAUUUAUGUGGUUUUAUUUUUUCUUUGAAGCUAUAUUUAUAGUCAAUGCCCCUAAAACGAGUUAUAUUCUGCUCACCAACGAACUUACUAACCAUGGUCAAGCUCGAUCCAUGGGGAAGUCUUAUCAGUUCAUCUUAACCCGCUUGCCUUUCUUGCUUAAUUAAGAAGCUGUCCUUCAAGAUUUUCCUUCCGAUGGGGAGAAAGGGAACAGAUUUUCAACGCAUGAACAGGCUUUUUUUCCCUUGUGACUGUUGAGCUUCUCUGCCCAGAUUGCAAUCCUUCAUUUCAGACAAUUACCAUGCCUGGGUGAAUGCUGAAUUCUUGCUAGAGAAGUGUCUUGUGGGCACUUUGGAUGCAAGUCAGUGAAGACAGUUAUAUCUUGGAUUUCAUAAGUGGACCUUGGCCACAUCGGCAUGAUCAUCAUAUGAAGUAGAGUUCCUUCUGUAAUUUUCCUAUUGAGGCUUAUCAUGGCAACGAUGCGCUCACAUUUUUUGGAUAGGGGGCAACAACACCAAAUCAGUUGUAUUCUUAUGUACAAAAUAUUCUUCUGUGACAGAAAUGUAUUUUGACUUUAGCGAUAUGAUAAAUAAUAAUGUUCAUACAUGAAAUUACUUC